GAAAACUCGCAUAACCCAGAUCUGCGUUAAAUGUGUGCUACUUCUAAUUUUUUUCUCAAUCUACAAAGGAAAUAUUUGAAUAAGUUGGCUUUUGUUAACAAGUUUGACUCACAAGUGAGAUGUUUGCAGAGUAGCUGUUGAAGCCAGACCAACUCUGACGCACCAUGCAUCCAGGCUGGUUUUUGGCCCUUGCCUUGGCUUUCAGCACCUUUGAUCCGGGCUGCGGUGGACCUUUUCAUGCCCAGUGUAAAGUGGAAUGGUACUUUGGGGUGACUUGUCAGAGAGUCUCCGACGCCUUAGUUGGACAAAUAAAAAAAUGGAGAACCUCGGCAAAUUGCUACAAG